UACGUAGGGUGCGAGCGUUGUCCGGAAUUAUUGGGCGUAAAGGGCUCGUAGGCGGUCUGUUGCGUCAGGAGUGAAAACUCGGGGCUUAACCCCGAGCCUGCUUCUGAUACGGGCAGACUAGAGGUAUGCAGGGGAGAACGGAAUUCCUGGUGUAGCGGUGAAAUGCGCAGAUAUCAGGAGGAACACCGGUGGCGAAGGCGGCAUCCUGGACCAAUACUGACGCUGAGGAGCGAAAGCCAGGGGAGCAAACGGG
rnacentral:rRNA from 1 species